UCUUCCCUCUUUCGUCGUGCCUAAUACAUGCAAGUCGAGCGAACAGACGAGGAGCUUGCUCCUCUGACGUUAGCGGCGGACGGGUGAGUAACACGUGGAUAACCUACCUAUAAGACUGGGAUAACUUCGGGAAACCGGAGCUAAUACCGGAUAAUAUAUUGAACCGCAUGGUUCAAUAGUGAAAGACGGUUUUGCUGUCACUUAUAGAUGGAUCCGCGCCGCAUUAGCUAGUUGGUAAGGUAACGGCUUACCAAGGCAACGAUGCGUAGCCGACCUGAGAGGGUGAUCGGCCACACUGGAACUGAGACACGGUCCAGACUCCUACGGGAGGCAGCAGUAGGGAAUCUUCCGCAAUGGGCGAAAGCCUGACGGAGCAACGCCGCGUGAGUGAUGAAGGUCUUCGGAUCGUAAAACUCUGUUAUUAGGGAAGAACAAAUGUGUAAGUAACUAUGCACGUCUUGACGGUACCUAAUCAGAAAGCCACGGCUAACUACGUG
rnacentral:rRNA from 1 species